rnacentral:rRNA from 1 species
GACGAACGCUGGCGGCGUGCCUAAUGCAUGCAAGUUGAGCGCUGAAGGUUGGUACUUGUACCGACUGGAUGAGCAGCGAACGGGUGAGUAACGCGUGGGGAAUCUGCCUUUGAGCGGGGGACAACAUUUGGAAACGAAUGCUAAUACCGCAUAAAAACUUUAAACACAAGUUUUAAGUUUGAAAGAUGCAAUUGCAUCACUCAAAGAUGAUCCCGCGUUGUAUUAGCUAGUUGGUGAGGUAAAGGCUCACCAAGGCGAUGAUACAUAGCCGACCUGAGAGGGUGAUCGGCCACAUUGGGACUGAGACACGGCCCAAACUCCUACGGGAGGCAGCAGUAGGGAAUCUUCGGCAAUGGACGAAAGUCUGACCGAGCAACGCCGCGUGAGUGAAGAAGGUUUUCGGAUCGUAAAACUCUGUUGGUAGAGAAGAACGUUGGUGAGAGUGGAAAGCUCAUCAAGUGACGGUAACUACCCAGAAAGGGACGGCUAACUACGUG